CUGAGUUCUCAAUCAGUUACACCGACCCAUCACAAUGACGGCACGAACAUUAACUGUUUCUUUGAUCUUGGCUUUGGCUUGCCUGGCUUUCUCAGCACCCAUCAAUGAUGGCUUUACAGACACAGAAGUCACUGGCCCUCCUCAUAUCCCAGACCUGGAUACAACUCCAGAAAGUGACUCCAAGAGGUCUCAAGAAAGUGACUCCAAGCAGUCUUCAGAAAGUCACUCCAAAGAUGAUGAUAGAGAAGAACAAGAGGAUGCCUCAGAUUCUUCUGAGGAAAAGGAUGACAAAGACGCUGUAGAGUCAGAAGAAGAUUCCUCUGACUCCUCAGAAAGGGCCACCAAAGAGUCUCAUGAAAGUGAUUCCAUAAAUGACCACAAGCAUGGAACCAAGUCAGACGAUUCCUCUGAUUCAGAUGAUGUGUCAAAGGAUAUAACCAGUCAUGCAAUGGAUGGUGAUAACAAACAACUGGAGAUUCAUUGUGAGGGAAAAUGCGACGUUAAGAUGUUUUACCCGUCAGCUGAAGAAGACUCUGCUGACAAAGACAACAGUGAUGAAGAUAAGGACAGUUCUUCUGUAGAAGAGAAGGACAGCAACAGCAAAAAAGAAUUUAAAUCAAAGUCAAACCAAGAUAGUGACCGUAAAGAAGAUUCUGACUCAGACAAAGACAGCAAAGACGACUCCGAUUCAGACAAAGACAGCAAAGACGACUCAGAUUCGGACAAAGACAGCAAAGACGACUCAGAUUCGGACAAAGACAGCAAAGACGACUCCGAUUCGGACAAAGACAGCAAAGACGACUCCGAUUCGGACAAAGACAGCAAAGACGACUCCGAUUCGGACAAAGACAGCAAAGACGACUCCGAUUCGGACAAAGACAGCAAAGACGACUCCGAUUCGGACAAAGACAGCAAAGACGACUCCGAUUCGGACAAAGACAGCAAAGACGACUCCGAUUCGGACAAAGACAGCAAAGACGACUCAGAUUCGGACAAAGACAGCAAAGACGACUCCGAUUCGGACAAAGACAGCAAAGACGACUCCGAUUCGGACAAAGACAGCAAAGACGACUCAGAUUCGGACAAAGACAGCAAAGACGACUCCGAUUCGGACAAAGACAGCAAAGACGACUCCGAUUCGGACAAAGACAGCAAAGACGACUCCGAUUCGGACAAAGACAGCAAAGACGGCUCUGAUUCAGACAAAGACAGCGAGAGCAAAGAUGACCGCAAAAACAGUGAGGAUGAUAGAAAGGAUGAGAGCAAAGAUGACAGCAAGGGUGUCCACAAGAGUGACAGGAAGGAUGAGCAUGAUGAGGAUAAAUUUGCUGCAGAAAAGGAAGAAAGCGCAGAAGACUCAGACAGCGACAGCAAAGAUAGCAAGGAUGACAGUGAGGGUGACAGCCACAAUGAGAAUGAAUCCGAAUCAGACUCAAGCAGCAGUGAUUUCAAGUCAGAGGACUCUGAUGACAACAGGACUACAGAGACCAAAGAUUCGGAGGAUGCCCAAUCUUAGUCACAUUCAGAGCCACACAGAGAUUCUCCCUCAGGUGCUCAUGCCCUCACCAGCCCAGAAACCUGAUCUCUCGGCUGAGCCCACGAGACAGGAAAUGUAAUUAGGAGUUGAUAACCAACAAUGUCACCAUCAUCUUGAGUCAAACAUCCCGCUGAAGUCUCUGAAACCACUGCUGAAUCUAAAUAAACUAGAGAACUAUAUUGC
ensembl:lncRNA